rnacentral:rRNA from 1 species
AUGUCUAAGUAUAAACUCGUUUGUACUGUGUGAAACUGCGAAUGGCUCAUUAAAUCAGUUAUAGUUUAUUUGAUAUAACCUUACUACUUGGAUAUCCGUGGUAAUUCUAGAGCUAAUACAUGCAAUUAAAAUCCUGACUUCUGGAAGGGAUGUAUUUAUUAGAUAAAAAACCAACCCGGCAACGGUUCUUUGGUGAUUCAUAGUAACUUUUCGAAUCGCAUGACUUUACGUCGGCGAUGGUUCAUUCAAAUUUCUGCCCUAUCAAGUUUCGAUGGUAGGAUAGAGGCCUACCAUGCUUUUUACGGGUAACGGCGAAUUAGGGUUCGAUUCCGGAGAGGGAGCCUGAGAAACGGCUACCACAUCUAAGGAAGGCAGCAGGCGCGCAAAUUACCCAAUCCUGAUUCAGGGAGGUAGUGACAAUAAAUAACAAUCCAGGGCUUUUGUCUUGGAAUUGGAAUGAGAACAAUUUAAAUCUCUUAACGAGGAACAAUUGGAGGGCAAGUCUGGUGCCAGCAGCCGCGGUAAUUCCAGCUCCAAUAGCGUAUAUUAAAGUUGUUGCAGUUAAAUAGCUCGUAGUUGAAUCUUGGGCCUGGUUUGGCGGUCGCGCUUUAGGGCGUGUACUGUCGGCCGGGUCUUUUACUUGCGGGGAACGUGCGUGCCUCUCGGGGUGUGUACGGGAACCGUGGCUAUUACUUUGAAAAAAUUAGAGUGUUUAAAGCAGGCGUAAGCUUGUAUACAUUAGCAUGGAAUAAUAGAAUAGGACUUUGGUUUUAUUUUGUUGGUUUCUAGGGCCGAAGUAAUGAUUAAUAGGGAUAGUUGGGGGCAUUAGUAUUUAAUAGUCAGAGGUGAAAUUCUUGGAUUUAUGAAAGACUAACUUCUGCGAAAGCAUUUGCCAAGGAUGUUUUCAUUAAUCAAGAACGAAAGUCAGGGGAUCGAAGAUGAUCARAWACCGUCGUAGUCCUGACCGUAAACUAUGCCGACUAGGGAUMRGGCGUUGUAUUUCAUGACACGCUCGGCACCUUAUGAGAAAUCAA